AUGCUGAAUUUGGAAAAGAUGCCAAACGUAAGGCUGCACUGCAAUAACGACCUCUCAGCGCAUUGCACCCUCUGCCACCUACCUUCUGACUUUCUGGGUACCCUAACUUCGGACUCACUCCAUAAUCGCUCCUCUGUCCUGUGGAUCUCAGAGUGAACUGCUUCUGCAGAUACUUCAGCAUGGGUUGUAAAUUUUCAUUGUGGUUGGCAAACAAUAAAGGAAUAUUCGAUACUUUAGUGGAAUCCAGUCACUUCACAAAGGACUCAGAGAUACAGAGCUUGUGUGUUAUAAUAAUCAUUGUCAGGACACGCAUCCAUAAACCUUAA
rnacentral:lncRNA from 1 species